GCUGUAGCUCAGUGGAUAGAGCGACCGCCUCCUAAGCGGUAGGCCGGAGGUUCGAAUCCUCUCAGC
rnacentral:tRNA from 1 species